UACGUAGGAUGCAAGCGUUGUUCGGAAUCAUUGGGCGUAAAGGGUGAGUAGGCGGUUAUAUAAGUUACAUGUGAAAGACCUGCGCUUAACGCAGGAAGUGCAUGUAAUACUGCAUAGCUAGAGUAAGGGAGAGGGAAGCGGAAUUCCUGGUGUAGAGGUGAAAUUCGUAGAUAUCAGGAGGAACAUCGGUGGCGAAGGCGGCUUCCUGGCCCAGUCUGACGCUGAGGCACGAAAGCGUGGGUAGCAAACA
rnacentral:rRNA from 1 species